GGUUGUGCAUUUAUGAAAAUUACAUACAAUCGUUCUAUAAGUCACGGCAUCAUAGACAGGCUUCAAUACUAUAUGUUUACAACUGGAAGUGACAUUUGAGGAACAUGCACAUUUUUUAUAUUAAUGUUUAAACAAGCUUUAACCAUUUAGUUACAUCUGAAAAGUCCAGCUAGGCAAAAAAUAAUGGUGAAUAAUGGUAAAUAAUAAGAAUAAUACGGUAGCUUAAACUAUGUGGUUAGGCACAGGAGGCACGUUACAAAUUGCUAUGGGCAUCAGGAGAGAGAUUAUCUGGUGAGACAGUGUCAUCUAGGCAUAUUAGGUAGACAGACAGUAACAUUGUCAGAGAAGCAUGAAACCACGUAGAUGGGGUAAAACAAUGUGGAUUAGAGUAAUGGCAUAUACUUUGUAUAGAUAGGUCAACCUUGGGUAAAUAUAACAUUCUGGAGGCUAAGCCAGUGCCUUGCCUAACUGAGGUGUAUGGUCACUAGCGUCCUCAAGCGUGUGUGAGCUGAGCCAGCUGACCCUAACUGGCAUCAACUGAGCCCAUGAGUGGGUGUGUGUCGUUCACUGGUUAAAAAGGGGGAAAUGUGUAAUUGUGGAACAGGAGCUGGGUUCUUAACAAUGAAACAAGCUGUGUUACUUAAGUGUCCCAGAACGUCUCUUAGCCCACGCCAGCAGCUGGUAUGGCUUCGUCCCCCAGAGUGGCAUUGUCGGUGGUGCUUGAAGAUGUUGCCCUCAGGUCGUCGCCGUUUUCCCCAACCAGGGCUUGUAUUCGAUGGCCGCAGGAAUGAGAGGAGCAUGCUUUGCUUUGGCGGGUUCGUCGUUUCGUUCGGGUGUUCCUGCUGUGUCCCGAUUUCCCGCCUCUUUGGCUCCGGGGCUGUAUGAGAGCCCUUGCCUUUUGUCCAUGAAGCCUCCCAAUCUCGGUUGUUGGCUUGUGAGCCCGUGGGUUCUCCUCAUCCCGGGCGUCCCGACUGGUGUAUGGACGGCAUGGAGUAAACUCCUGGCAGGCUCCCAGCCCAGAAGAGUAUCGGGCAGUCUGGGUAUUAUCUUCGGGUACCCUCUUGGCAGGAGAUGCUGGUGGGAGAGAUCUUACUUCAAGUCUAUGCCAGAACGCUUGGCAGAUUGCGUCAAACUUGCUUUCAAAAGCUUCCCUCCACUUUUGAGCCGGUGGGCCCAGGUUACUCUGCUUUGGUUGCAGCUCGGCGGCCAUCUUGGUAGCGCCAUGCAGGCUGUUUCUGUGCCGCUCAGGAUCCGCUGGAGAUAGGUAUGUUGCUGCAUGUUGGUGCUUCAUUCCAGCGGGGACCGGGAUAUCCCCCACCGGUCCUAAGGGGGGGCGACGGGGCUCCAGUGUCGCUUUGAGCACGUUUCCUCCGCCGGGGGAUCGGCCGCCUCCCCCAGACAACAGGCCGCGCACCUUUGAGUGUCGCCAGGCCUGGGACAUGGUUUGCCAGUCGGAGCAGUAACAAGCUUAGCGGGGUCCGUGUGGCUGUGGGUAUGUCUCGCUUGUGGUUUAGCCUUGGUACCCGCUUACAAAACACACAAUUCCCUUCGAUUAGUCUCAGGGUUGCCGGAGCUCCAGGCAAACACGUCCAGCCAGCUCGAGAGUCAGGCCCCGCCCCACAUAUAUUUUUUUUAUAAACCUGUGUUGUGUUUGCAAUUUGGUAUCCAUGAGAGCAG
rnacentral:lncRNA from 1 species